UCUGCUGGCUGUGGGAGAGACAGGGGAAAGGGACCAAGGGGAACUACUGUCAUCCAAAGCUUAACAGAGGACGAGCAAUUUGAGAUGUUUGAUUUAUUCCAGAAGCUUCUUCCUGACAGAAGUAGUUGUGAGAAAGUGAGCCUCAAUUGUGCCGGGUAAGGGGACACCAUUUAGAUUUUCAUACAUCUAAAUUGUUUAAAAUCUAAAAUGAAGGAUGUGCAAGAAACAUUUUUUCCUUUAGUGAGUAAAUUUAUUCCUGCCAAAAUAAUUUUGGAGACUGUUAUUGUGAGUCUAUAUGCAAGUAGCCCAUGGUCUCAUUGAUGCAGAUCAAGCCUUUUAAAUCUGUCAGAGAGAGACCCUAGUUAAUGACACUCCAGACAUAGCUGGCAAAUAAAUUCAACAUACUGUCUUUUUGUAUUUUACAUGAUAUAACAAUAUUGACAUCAUGUACACCACAAUAUGUGUCAUAGCUCUUGUUAACUGUUCUUGUUUACUGCCAUCUACAACAGCAAAACUGCGAUUGUCCGUUGCCAUUUACCUAAAAGAAUAAGGAGAGGAGAAGUAGCCCAUUUUGGGUUAUUGUGCUCAGCGGUUGGAGGCUGAGGUAAUUUCCUGUUUGGCAUUAGUUUGCUGACUCAUGUUCAGGAAGGAGAAAUGCCCGUUUAUAAUGGGCACACGCCAAUCCCACAAUCCCUCUCAAGCCUACAGUAAAGCCCAUGCCAUUUUUGCACUAAAUUUAUUUUUGUUAGUCCAGUCCAAUUGGGCUUUGACAUCUGGUAAAGGGGAAAGACUUUUUUAAACUGUCAUUUCAACCUCUCCACAUGCCUCGCUGUUCCCGUCACUCAUUCUUCUGUGUUCUUGCUUUCACAUUUCAUCACUUUGGCCUGUUAUGCUUUGACCUCAGCACUCUGAUUGGAGAUCCAGAAGACUCAAAAGGUACCAAGCUGAAGGAGAAGUGACUCAAACGUGACUCAACUCGCUUACUCCCUCGGCGGCUGGAUUCGGUUUGCUGAUGAAGCACGCUUUUCCGGCUGUGUUCUAAUAAGCAGCCCCACCCACUACACUGCAAAACAUUACAUUUGCUUAAUCUUCUAGCAAAACCAGAGUGUCUUGGCCCAUUUAUUUGCUCCAACUUCAUUUAUCUGCACCUCUUGAAAUAAUUAGUGUGAAUUACACAUGUAAAUUAAGUAACAGAAGGCAAUCAAAACGAUCACUUUCCUUAAUGCAUCUGAAGAAGCUGAAAGUGUCUCUGUGUGCUGUGUAGUCUGAGAAGUGGACGAAACACGGCAGGAAACACUGAGCGGUAGAACAUUCGUCACACUCAAACCCAAGUGCCGAAUUCGUCUCCCUUGAGACGUCUACGUCGACUGUUCUUUUCUUCGGGCUGUUGAGGUUACACGCUGUAGUAGCGCUGUGCAUACAGUGGAGAUGGUUACUGAGGGCACGAUGGAUCAACUCCAGUGGCUAAAACUAUUCCCAUACCAUCGAUUCACAGGGACAGUUGUGAAAUUGAACUGUCAGGUGUUCCAUCGGCCACUGAUAUGAUAUUGAUUUGGCUCCAGUUAUAAAAAAAAAAAAAGAAAGAAAAUAAAAUUUGCCAAUGAGGCCUUAGAAUUCUGCUGGGCACUGCUGGUAACUGUUAAAGAGCGUCACUGUCAAAGCAGGACUGUGAGUGAUUUUUAUGAAAUAAAUGUUGCUGCGAUGAGAGGACCUACGAUGUGUGAGCAAUUGCUCAUUCGAAAUGUUUCAUCUCAUUGCUGCGCUCUCCUACAUGACCUGACUGAUUGUUUGGUCGUGGUUUCUCCUCCCUCCUAUCUUUCUAUCACUUAUCAGGGCCAGCUUACACACCCAAGACUUAAAGCAUGCAGACUGUGUUUUGGUAAGGACGAGGCUCGUGACAGUGGUGGAUUAAAUCGCUCGUUGGGCAAGAACAACAGCAUUGCUCUCUGUCAGUCUCCAACCUUUAAUCAAAGAGGGGUGGAGGAGAAAGCAGUUUUGUUUUCAUUGAGGCAUCUAUCUUUCUCUUCUUCCAUCUUUGUCAUUUUGUAUUAGUAGGUCUCGUUCCAGUUUUCCAUGUGCUCCUCCCGAUCCACUCCCUGCGCCUCCUCAUGGCAGCAAUUAAGCGAUACCCGGAUGUGUUAAUGUCUCUUUGUGGGAGUGCGGUUUCGUUCUUCCGCGAGGCCAGCGCAGACGCGUCCUCGGUCUUGGGCUCACCAUCUCCCCACAGGGCCAGCAACUCCAGCAUGGCUCCAUCCCUCUCAUCCCGUGUAAUUCCUCCGGAAUGUUGGGCAGAUGAGAGGUUAGGAAGCUUACUGCACCCGCUGUUCGCCUCCUGUAAUGAACGGGCAGCCCUCCAGCUGUCAUUCACGCAGAAGCGCUCGCUGAGGUCACGUCUCUGGGCCUAACCUCUGCUUGGCGUCCGCUGGGCUCUGCUGCCUGGAGGUGCAAGCGACUAGAGGAGGCGGACCUUCUGAAACCUCAACCCCACGGUGCUGUAAUGCUCCACACUGAAGUUGCUAUUUGAGUCCUCCUGUCCCCAGUCAAACGCAUGCAAAGCCAGACGAGCCUAUGGCUCAGUGAUCUCCAUGAUGAACCGCUUCAGGGAACAUACGAGCGAGCGGCCAAAAAGAAGACAAGAGGAAAGGAAGCGUGAAUAUGUUACACGUCUGCUGGGUUUAGUCUGCUGGGUUUAGUCUGCCGGGUUUAGUCUGCCGGGCAGCUGGGUGAGACAAACCCACCUCACAGUCACCUCCACCAAGCUCAGAGGCUUGUCUGUUCAUUAAUUCCUGGGAAGAAUGGUAAAUGGAAUUAAUACAGACUCUUAUAAAGCCAGCACGUUUUCAUCAUUUUUUCCAACCAGUCAGAGAAUCCAAGUCAACACGCACACACACACCUCCAGCCUAAUGUUUUUUUUUCCACAAAUAUUUAAGUGGAUUUUACUGUGUGUCUUUUAAAACCUCAGACUCCUGCACCUCCUAGCAGGGUGAGAAAGGCCACAUGGACAAAUGCCUUUUUCUUGCAGGAUUACGGAAUGCCAGCUGCGUGUUCUGCUCUCGCCAAGGCGACCGUUUCACAUUCGCUCUCUGGAGGUGCAGCCAUGCCCACCGCUAGCCUGGCUCCUUAUGGAGUUUAUUAGAGAAAUCCCCCUCAAGUCUCCCGAGCCUGGGUCAACCUUCCGAGAAGAUGUGGAACGUCAACCCCUUGCCCUGAUUGCACUGGAAUGAGCCUGAUUGUUUUUGAUAUCCACGUGUGUAUUGAUUGCAUUCCAGAAGCUGGGUUCCAGAAUUCCUUUAGUAAAAACCUUUAGAAAAUGCAUAAGCAUAUGGCUGUUGGGAAUUUCCCCUGCAGUGCUUUUUUGUUGUUGUUGUUGUUGUUGUUGUUGUUGUUGUUGUUGUUUUUCCCAAUUGCCUUUGUUCUAUUUGUUUUCGGUCAUAUAUGUGUUUGGGCGGAACAGCUAGCAAACCUCAGCCCCCUACCAUCUGUCUUCAAAAAGCAAAUCUGGAGGCGCAGCUGAAACCAGGGAAGCAAAUAACCAAGAGAGGACGCGGCGCGCAGCGUCUCGAAGACGGGCAGAUGGACAGAGCGGAGACAGC